UACGUAGGGGGCCAGCGUUGUCCGGAAUCAUUGGGCGUAAAGCGCGCGUAGGCGGCCAGAUAAGUCCGGUGUGAAAGUCAAAGGCUCAACCUUUGAAUGCCGCUGGAAAUUGCCUGGCUUGAGUCCGGAAGGGGCGAGUGGAAUUCCUGGUGUAGGCGGUGAAAUGCGCAGAUAUCGAGGAAGAACAGCCGUGGCGAAGGCGGCUGCGUCGUGG
rnacentral:rRNA from 1 species